rnacentral:tRNA from 1 species
AAGGAUGUAGCUCAGUGGUAGAGCACAUGUUUAGCAUGUGUGAGGCCCUGGGUUUGAUCUCCAGCACCAUGA